ACCCUCCAGUUACCUUUCUCGUUUGAUCUGUACACUGGUCCUGGUGAUGUAAAGAAGAGCUAAUGCUGGGGCUGGCCUCCAGGCCUUCUAGGCUGAUGUAUAGCAUGUGGGCUAGUUUCAAACAGUG
ensembl:snoRNA